rfam:Triticum aestivum genome assembly, contig: Triticum_aestivum_CS42_TGACv1_scaffold_500038_6BL
GUAGUAUUCCCUCUAUCCCAAAAUUCUUGUCUUACAUUUGUUUAGAUACGGAUGUAUCUAACACUAAAAUGUAACUAGAUACAUCCAUAUUUAGACAAAUUUAAGACAAGAAUUUUGGGACGGAGGGAGUACAAA